UUCCUGCCCUCACAUCAGCAUUCAGCACACUGGUAGGUUAUGACACACUCUGUUCUCCUCUCUCAGAGGAAUAGAGGAAUAUUUUGAGGAGCAUACUCAACCAGCACACGAAAUGUUAACAUGAAGGAGACAGGUUUCACAAUCCAUUGUUCAUUUCUGUGGAAGGAGACAAGCUUCAGACCCCAUUUCCCAUUUAGGGCUCUGCAGAAUGAAACUCACUCAAAAAUGUAGAACUGUAUGAAGUAAAGAAGGAGAUGCUGCAGGGAGUCCUGGCUGGAAAAGUUGUGGGUCUUCCACAAAUUACAAAAGCAGGGAAGUAGACCCAGGAAAAACUUCCUAUAUUACGGUGUGUGUGUGCAGAAGCCAAACCAAAGUAGGUAUGAAGGCAGCAACUGCACCCUCCUUGCUCAGUAAACUUCAACCACUUUGGAAGGAAGCAUCGAUCCAGUUCUAACAUCGAUACAACUACAGACAAGUGAACUACAAGUCAAGAUUUAAUGCAGCGUGAAAAUGUUCUGAGCAGUAUUUAUGAUCACAUUCAGUACUUAACUGGCUAUUGUGUUGAUGCACCAUUAGGUAGUGGAUAAUGUAACUGUUCCUUGUAUCUACUUUUAAAUAAAAAUGUAUAAUUCA